GGGGGUGCACUGGCUUCGACGGGGGUUGCGAAAUCGUCUGGCGCAUGCCGAGGGGGCAGCUUUCCUCGUAAAUCCAGCGGCAAAACAUAUAGUUGCCAACGACGACAACUACGCUCUGGCCGCUUAAGGCCUAGCCCCGAAAGCGCUUGUGCCCGUGCUCGCGCCGUAGGGUCAUCAUCACGGGAUCGGUCUUGGCGGCGACCCGCCAACCAAGGCCAAGACAAAGCGGGUAUGGGUUGCGGUGUGCCUCGCACGUUGUGUUGCCGCCGCCCGAGAUCGAACAACGAGCUAAGCAUGUAGUGCCGGGCAUGGAGUGCCUCCGGACGGCGGUUCGAUUCCGCCCACCUCCACCA
rnacentral:tmRNA from 1 species